UCCGUAGGCGGCUAUGCACGUCGCGCGUUAAAUGUUGAGGCUCAACUUCAACACUGCUCGCGAUACGGCGUAGCUAGAGACCGGGAGAGGCACACGGAAUUGCUGGUGUAGGGGUAAUAUCCGUUAAUAUCAGCAAGAACACCAAAUGCGAAGGCAGUGUGCUGGAACGGUUCUGACGCUCAGGGACGAAAGCGUGGGGAGCGAAAG
rnacentral:rRNA from 1 species